ACACCGGCUUUUUUAGAAGCCACUCUGAUCCUAAUUUCUAUACCA
rfam:Picea glauca, whole genome shotgun sequence.